rnacentral:rRNA from 1 species
AAUGAACGUUGGCAGCGUGGAUUAGGCAUGCAAGUCGAGCGAGAAGAGUUUGGUAGCUUGCUAUUGAACUCGGACAGCGGCGAAAGGGAGAGUAACGCGUAGUUACGUGCCCCAGGGUUCGGAAUAGCCACGGGAAACUGUGGGUAAUGCCGAAUAACAUCUCCGGAUCAAAGGUGUGAUUCCGCCCUGGGAGCGGACUGCGUCCUACUAGCUAGUUGGCGGGGUAAUGGCCCACCAAGGCGACAAUGGGUAGCGGGUGUGAGAGCAUGACCCGUCUCACUGGGACUGAGACACUGCCCAGACACCUACGGGUGGCUGCAGUCGAGAAUCUUCGGCAAUGGGCGAAAGCCUGACCGAGCGACGCCGCGUGCGGGAUGAAGGCCCUCGGGUUGUAAACCGCUGUCGUAGGGGAGGAAGGCUCCGUGAAGAACGGGGUUUGACCUAGCCUAGGAGGAAGUACGGGCUAAGUUCGUGCCAGCCGCCGCAGUAAAAC